GACGAACGCUGGCGGCGUGCCUAACACAUGCAAGUCGAGCGAUGAAGUUCCUUCGGGAACGGAUUAGCGGCGGACGGGUGAGUAACACGUGGGCAACCUGCCUUAUAGAGGGGAAUAGCCUUCCGAAAGGAAGAUUAAUACCGCAUAAGAUUGUAGCUUCGCAUGAAGUAGCAAUUAAAGGAGCAAUCCGCUAUAAGAUGGGCCCGCGGCGCAUUAGCUAGUUGGUGGGGUAACGGCCUACCAAGGCGACGAUGCGUAGCCGACCUGAGAGGGUGAUCGGCCACAUUGGGACUGAGACACGGCCCAG
rnacentral:rRNA from 1 species